rnacentral:lncRNA from 1 species
UUGUCAUUCAUCCAUUUAUCCAAAAGUGCUUAUUGAACAAAUGGUAUGGGAUGGGCAUUAGUGGUACUGCAAAAGACUCUUGAGAGUCUGUGGAACUGCAAGUAUACAAACCAAUCAAUCCCAAAGGAAACCAAUGCUGAAUAUUCAUUGGAAAGACUGAUGUUGAAGAUGAAGCUUCAGUACUUUGGCCACCUGAUGUGAACCGCCAACUCAUUAAAAAAAGACUCUGAUAUUUUGGGAAAGAUUGAAGGCAAAAGGAGAAGGGAACGGCAGAGGAAACGAUGCUUAGAUAGCAUCACCAACUCAAUGAAUAUGAGUUUGACAUGGGGUCGCAGUUGGACAUGACUUAACAACUGAACAGCAGCAAGGCAUUAUUCUAAUUGCUGGGCAAAAGAGGCAAAAAUCUCAUUCUACUGUUCUCAAAGGUAGCUUCAAAUACCUGUGAAUAACAAAAUGAUCCCAAAAGAUUUCAGCUCCCCAAAGAUUUCUAUAUCACUGAAACCUCCUCUCCUGUCUAGGAAGCACUGCAUCUUGUGCAAAGUGAUAGUGCAUAUCACUUAUCUGAUGCAUGACAAGACCGAAUUGUCUCGUAGACAAAAUGUGUGGUUCACAAAAAACAAGGAAAGAUCAAUCUUCUUUGCCAUAGAGAUAGGUAAUUCUUCCUUUAAAUAAUUUCCAUUGUAUCAAUAUUUUCCCAAUCCUUUUCUUUCAUUAAGCAUCCAUUAGAUAUUUUUCUGCUUUCCGCUUUUAUAUGACAACAUACUAUUUAUAUAUUUCUCCUGUAAUUCUCUAUUAUUUGCAAUAACUCAUGAUCAAAUGGGUAUUUUGUUCUACACUUCAUGAAAUAUUUUCUCCUAAAGAACAUCAUUAAGUUUUUCUAUGCUGGAUAAAAAAAUCUGACUCUUGUUUGCUAGUCAAGGAAAACUGUAUACCCAGUGUAUAUCAAAUAUGCUCAAUUUCAUUAGUAAUAAAGGGGUUACAGAUUUAAACCAAUAUUAUUGUACACCUACUAGACUGGCUAAAUUUUAAUUUUGUAUUUGCAACA